AACGCACAUUGCGCCUCCGGGUAUUCCUGGAGGCAUGCUUGUUCGAGCGUCGUUAAAGACCAUGAGGCUUUGCCUUGCGAUGAGCCGUCCGAUCGAUUGAUCGGUGGCUUCAAACCGAUUGGCGUCUGAAGUUUAGCCCAAGCACAGCAAAAUGUGACUGUAAGCCGAGCGAAGGAUUGCCUGUUCUCAUACAUUUUAAAGGUCGACCUCGGAUCAAGCAAGAUUACCCGCUGAACUUAA
rnacentral:misc_RNA from 1 species